rnacentral:sRNA from 1 species
UUUAAAACCAAAGGCUUUUAACCCUUCUUCUUUAGCUAACAAGAACCUCAUUCUUUUCUUUAACAUUCCCAAAACCUUUACUAGAUUUUUUUUCUAACUUCUUUAGCUUACUUCCCCUGGAAUUCUUUCCCUUUCUUCAUCAACAAUGGAUUCCCUCUUUUCUUUUAAACACAUCCCAACCCAUGAUAUAAGCGCCCACCUAGUCCUAUCCAGUCUGAAGAACGCGAACUAGAACUACAUGAGACACUAUCUCUGUCGUUACGAACCUAACACUUUCUACCAAGCUCAAUCGAAAUAAGACCUCACAAACACUCACAAGUGAUAUAGGGCUUGAAAGAAAGUUCAGGUUUGGGUAUGGGUUAACUGCUCUAAUAAGGAGAGUCAGCUACUUGGAUCAACAAGAGUGGUUAAAAUGAGUAAGAAAAUCCAAGUAUUUUAGGGUAUCCAUGAGUUCAAAUUCGAUGCCAAGACAUGAUAAUUCUAAAUCAGAUUCAAGUUCAAAUUGAUAGGGAAUGAUAUCAGAUCCUAACAGUGUGGUCGAGUAGAGCAAUCUAGGCAUGGUGCAGUUCUUACUUCAAUUUCAAUGACAACGCAUCAAACAACUAACAACGAGGGCACUGAGCUUAUCUGGUGAACCAAAAUGCUUACAAGGCUAUCUCAUCAUUAUCCCCUAUGCAUAUGCAACAAUCCUAAACGAAACACUCUAGACUCGAUCCUAAAUGCAAUGCAACUACAUGAACACUCUAUUUUUGUGAAAUCAUUUUCUGGAAUUUUUCAAUUUUUUUGGUUUUUCUAUGCCUUAGAUGAAUGCAGACUCAAGAUUAUACAAUGCAACACACACUUCCUGAGCCCUCCCCCAAACUUAAAUCACACAGUCCACUGUGUGACCAAAUUUGGAAGAGAGUACUCAGGACAAAAACACAUCACAAAAACAAAAUAAAAACAAGAGAUGGUAUAUUACAAUGGUGGAGUGAGGUGCAUACCUCAGUGGAAGAAGGAGCGGAGUUGGUCGUCAAUAGCUGUCUGUGAUUGCUCCCAGGCCAUCGAAGAAUCUCCCUGUUGUGUCCCAGCUUCCCCCUGGGGGUACUCGACCUCUGCUCCUUCGUCGCGGCCAGCACCGCUGUGAUGAUACUCGACCUCUCUUCUUCUGCUGCGGCCACCACCGCGGUCGCGUAAGCUACGGGAGUGGAGAAGUCGUGACUGCAUCAUUCGCUAUACUCGACCACAUCGUCAUUCGGUCUUUAUAGGGUGUGGUCGAGUGAUUUCCUGGUGUGAAGACGCCAGAACAAUGUCGAGUUUGAUUGCUUUGUGGUCGAGUGUAUUGCUGUUCCUUCAAAGCCAGAAUCUAUUUCCAUCAACUCUUCAUAUUUAUCUCCUGAAAACACUAACAAGAUGCAUCAAAAACAAUAAGGAAAAUGAAAGAUAUGUACAAAGAUAGGCUUGGGACUUCCUCCCAAGUGAGCUUGUUUUAGGUCUCUAGCUUGACUCUUCAUACUCAUUAGGCGUUUAAAGGCUCCUCCAAAGGAACAGAGGUUCCUUCUGGAAUAAACUGAUCUAUCAUGUAUUUCUUGAGCCGCUGGCCAUUGACUGUGAAGUCUCCAUUCUUUCCAGCUAGAGUGAUAGCACCAUAAGGUCGGACUGCAGUAACAGAGAAAGGACCAGACCAUCUAGACUUGAGCUUGCCUGGAAAAAGCCUCAGGCGAGAGUUGAACAGCAACACUUGAUCACCAACCUUAAAAUCUCUUGAGACUAUCUUCUUAUCAUGGAAAGACUUGGUUCGCUCCUUGUAGAUUUUGGAACUCUCAUAGGCUUCUAAGCGAAUCUCGUUGAGAUCGUUCAGUUGGAUCAACCGCUUCUCCUCGGCGGUUUUAAUGUCGAAGUUCAGGAGUUUAACUGCCCACAUGGCUUUAUACUCGAGUUCAACAGGCAAAUGACAGGAUUUUCCAUAGAGGAGGUUGAAAGGAGUCGUGCCAAUAGGGGUCUUGAAGGCUGUUCUGUAAGCCCAUAGUGCGUCAUCGAGCUUAGCAGACCAAUCUUUCCUUGUACUUCCCACAAUUUUCUCUAAAAUUGCUUUUAUCUCCCUGUUGGAGAUUUCCACCUGCCCGCUCGUCUGUGGAUGAUAAGGAGUGGCGACCUUGUGCUUUACUCCAUGCUUCUUCAAAAGGUUCUCAAAAACCUUGUUGAUAAAAUGUUUCCCUCCGUCACUGAUCACAAUUCUCGGGACUCCAAAUCUAGGAAAGAUAAUUGUCUUGAACAGCUUUAGCACAACUCUAGCAUCAUUGGUGGGGCUGGCUAUGGCUUCCACCCAUUUUGAUACAUAGUCUACUGCGACCAGUAUGUACUUGUUCCCGUAAGAGGAAAGAAACAGACCCAUAAAAUCAAUUCCCCAAACGUCAAAGAUCUCAACUUCUAAUAUCGGAUUCUGAGGCAUCUCAUUCCUUCUGCUGAUGUUCCCUCUUCUCUGACAUGAAUCACAUUUAGAGAUAAAUUCCUGAGCAUCCUUAAACAUUGAUGGCCACCAAAAACCAGCUUGCAGGAUUUUCGACACUGUCUUGAACGUUGCGAAGUGGCCACCAUAGGCAGACCCAUGGCAAUGCAAUAGGAUGCCUUCGAUUUCGUCUUCUGAGACGCAUCUCCUGUAGAUCUUAUCUUUGCAGAGUGUGUAGAGAUAAGGUUUGUCCCAGUAGAAAUGGUUAAUGUCCUUGAAGAACUUCUUCUUCUCAUAGCUCGACAGAUUCGGAGGCUCCUCACCACUAACCAAGUAGUUGACGUGAUCAGCAUACCACGGAAGCUUUUCUUCAAUUAUACAUACUUGAUCGAGUGAUUUCCGAAUUUGUGCACUCUCGUUAAGUUGCUGAAUUGCCAUUAGCUGUUCUUCUGGCAUGGAGUCGUCAAUAGGGACCUCGUCUUCAAUCCUCAUCCUAGACAGAUGAUCAGCUACACCGUUUUCAAUUCCCUUCUUAUCAACUAUCUCCAUAUCAAACUCUUGGAGCAAUAAGAUCCAUCUCAACAGCCUAGGUUUGGUAUCCUUCUUCGCGUAUAUAUGCCUCAGAGCAGCAUGAUCAGUGUAGACUGUCACUUUAGAACCCACUAGGUAGCUUCUAAAUUUUUCAAAUGCAAAUACCAUAGCUAGCAGUUCCUUCUCUGUAGUGGCAUACCUUACUUGUGCAUCAUCCAUCGUUCUGCUCGCGUACUAGAUCACAUGCAGCUUUUUAUCAAUCCGCUGGCCCAAGACUGCUCCUACUGCGUAAUCUGAAGCAUCGCACAUGAUCUCGAAUGGGAAGUCCCAGUUUGGAGCUUGGACUAUUGGUGCAGUGAUAUAAGCUUCCUUGAUUAACUUAAAGGCUGUCAAACAUUCGUCAUCAAAUGCAAACUCGGUUUCCUUGCACAGUAGUCUGGUGAGCGGUCUUGCCAACUUGGAGAAAUCUUUGAUGAAUCUUCUGUAAAAUCCUGCAUGUCCAAGAAAACUCCUGAUGUCUUUGACAGUUUUGGGUGGCUGUAACUGCAUCAUCACGUCAACCUUAGCCUUAUCAACCUCUAUUCCCUCUUCAGAAAUUUUGUGGCCCAAAACGAUGCCUUCUCUAACCAUGAAAUGGCAUUUCUCCCAGUUCAGCACUAGGUUUGUCUCUUCACAUCUUUUAAGUACCCUGCACAGGUUCAACAAACACGAGGAGAAGGAAGAGCCAUACACAGAAAAAUCAUCCAUGAAUACCUCUACCAUCUCCUCUAUCAAAUCCGAGAAAAUAGAAGUCAUACACCGCUGAAAAGUAGCUGGUGCAUUACAGAGACCGAAAGGCAUACGCUUGUAAGCAAAGGUCCCAUAAGGACAAGUGAAAGUGGUUUUUUCAUGGUCAUUUGGGUGAAUAGGGAUUUGAAAAAAUCCGCUAUAACCAUCCAAAAAGCAAUAGUAAGGAUGGUUUGCUAAUCUUUCUAGCAUCUGAUCAAUGAAGGGCAAUGGGAAAUGGUCUUUUCUAGAGGCAGCAUUUAACUUCCUAUAGUCAAUACACAUCCUAUGUCCAGUUAUAGUCCUAGUGGGUAUCAGUUCAUCUUUAGAAAUUUUUAACAACUGUCAUACCUCCUUUUUUAGGAACGCAGUGGACUGGAGAUACCCAAGUGCUAUCAGAGAUAGGGUAGAUAACCCCAGCAUCUAAUAGUUUAAGUAUCUCCUUUUUGACAACCUCUUUCAAGUUAGGGUUUAAUCUCCUUUGAGGUUCAAUGCUAGAGUAGGAUUCAUUUUCAAGAUGGAUUCUAUGGGUGCAUAAGGUGGGCGAAAUCCCCUUAAUAUCAUCUAACGAAUAUCCUAUAGCUUUCCUAUACUUCUUGAGCUCGGUUAUCAGCAGGUUUACUUGAUCAGCAGUUAGCCCAUCAUUCACUAUGACAGGAUAAGUAGAGUUUAGUCCAAGAAAAACGUACCUUAGCCCUUUUGGUAGCGGUUUCAAAUCUACUUUGGGUGCCUUGAGUUCAGACCAGUCAUCGGAUACUAAGUUGGCUUCAGAGGGGUUGUUGUGGUCGAGUACACAGAAUGGGCUGUUGGUCGAGUGAUGAGGUCGAGUAUAUAUUCCUCCCUUGCUCUUUCACCCAAAUCUUCAUACUCUCCUGGAUUCUCAACUACUUUGUGUUCAUCUAACAGCUUUCGGUACCCCAAAAUCUCCAAAUGUAAAUCUCCUUCCUUGCUAUCCUUUGUUAGAGCAUUCUGUAGAUGAUCUGUUUCUCCCAGCUCUUCUAGCAUUUCGUCAGCUAACAUAUCCAUCUUUUCAAUCCAGAAAACAUUUCCUUCUAUCGUAGGCUUCUUCAUGGUGUUGGUGAUAUCGAAGGUCAUCUUGAGAUCUCUCCCGAGGUUAAGAUCAAUUUUUCCCUUCUUAACAUCAAUGAUAGCUCCAGCUGUAGCUAAAAAUGGUCUUCCCAAUAUCAAAGGGUCUUUGGGUUCUUCAUCCAUUUCUAAAACCACAAAGUCUGUCGGUACUUCGACCAUGCCUAUCAUGACUGGUAAGUCCUCCAGCAGACCAUGGGGAAUCCUAACAGAUCUGUCAGCUAGGAUCAAGGAUAUAUUGCAGGGCUUGUACUUGUUGAAGCCCAGUUUCUUUGCCACAGAGAGAGGCAUGAGACUCACAGAUGCACCUAGAUCACAGAGGCACUUGUUGAAGGCUAAAGGGCCUAGAGCGUAAGGUAAGGUGAAGGAACCAGGAUCUCCUAGUUUUUUUGGAAUGAUCUUCUGCUGAAUGAUUGCACUGCAUUCGUGACUUAGCACCACCAUUCCUUGGACUUCUUUGAUCCUCUCUGUAAUCAUGUCUUUCACAUAUUUGUUAGAGUCUGGUAUAAGUGCAAGACAGUCGACAAGAGGCAUCGUGACUUCAAGAUUUUUCAAUUGUUUCUCCAGGAGAGCUUUGUACUUCUGUAUCAUGACCUUCUUGAAUCGACCAGGAAAUGGGAGUGGGGGCUUGUAAGGUGGGGGAACGAAGACGUUGUCUUUGGUUUUGGCGGCAGCUGGUUUUUCAACAAGAGGAGAUGCUGCAGGAGCUAGUAGUCGAGUAGGUUGGUCGAGUAUAGGCUCUUCUAUUGCUUUUUCAGCGGAAUUUCCAUUUUGACAGAAAUCCUCCCCAUCUUGAUCCACACUGUCCUCAGUGUUCUGGUUCGGGCUCUCUUUUGUGGGUAAUUCUUUACCGCUUCUAAGUGUGAUAGCAUGAGCGUACUCCUCUGAAUUUGACAUUGAUUUUCUGGAAGGUCCUGUAAAUUUGGGUGCUGCGGUCGACCCAGUUUGGCCUUCUAUGUAUCUAAUCUUAGAUGUCAGUGCUUCAACCUUGAUAUUGAUAUCAUUGUAACUGCAGUCAACCUUGUUGUGAAUUUCUGCCAUCCUUUUGGACAAAUCCAUUGCUCCUGUUGCUUGCCCUUGUAGAAUCUGCUGUAACAUGUUCUUCAAGUCUGAAUCUGGAGUUGUUGAAGCUGGUUGUUGUUGCUGCUGUGUGAACCCAGGUGGUGGAAGUUGCUGCUGAUAGUUGCCCUGAUACUGCUGCUUAGGAACAUACCCUUGACCUUGGUUGUAUGGAACAAAGGGCUUGGGUUGAUUCUGCUGCUGUGAAGGGUAAACUUGGUCCUGCGGGUUUGCAACGUUUGUACUUCUGUAAGACAGAUUGGGAUGGUUCUGCUUGAAGUUGUUGAAACCUUUGUUGUAACCUCCUUGGUUCUGCACAUAACUGACCUCUUCUGACUGCAUAGUCUCCCCAUCCUGAACUUGGAACGUCUCAUCAUCACCCAGAAAAUGAAUGUGCUUCUGUUGCACAAGCAGUAGCUUGUCCAGUUUGUCAUUCAUGGCUUUCAUUUCCCUGCGGUGCUUCUCAUCAGAAUCAGAGCUGGUGCGGACGCUUCUAUCAUAAUCUUCAUUAUAGUUGCCAUCCGACUGAGCUAAGUUCUCUACCAGCUCCCAUCCGUCUUCAACGUCUUUGUUGAGAAAGUUCCCGUUAGAAGCGGUAUCUAGAAGCAUCCUGAUCUUUGGGAGGACACCUCUGUAGAGAGUGCUGAGAAGCGAAGCUUUGGAGAAACCAUGAUGAGGACAUUGCGUCUGAUAACCUUUGAAGCGCUCCCAUGCUUCGUAGAAAGUCUCAUUAUUCGUCUGAGUGAAACCGGAGAUAUCAUUCCUUAGUCUCGCAGUCCUGGAGUUUGAGAAAAACUUUGCCAACAAGGCUUUCUUGUAGUCAUUCCAGGAGGUGAUACAGCCUUGAGGAAGCGACUUUUCCCACUGAUGGGCUUUGUCUCCAAGAGAGAAAGGAAACAAUUCGAGCUUGAAGCCAUCCUCACUGACUCCAUUGAUCUUUGUUAGGCUGCAGAGCCUAUCAAACUCGUCCAGGUGAUCGAGUGGAUCCUCCAUAGGGAGACCGUGGAACUUGUUGCUCUGAACCAUGGCAAUGAGACCGCUCUUGAUCUCAAAGUUGUUGUUCUGCACAGGUGGAGGCACGAUGCCAUUACGCUGAUUGUGGUUGCGUGGUGCAUCGCCUGCACCUAUGUUGUUUGGUUGCACCUGCUCAUCAACAACUGCAGCCAUUGUGUCUGUUUCUGUCUGUGUUCUGAGUUGGCGUGCAAUACGGUCGAUGUUAUCGUUGAACAGGAGAUUCUGAUUUCCUCGUGACCGUGUUUGCAUACAACGAGUACCAACUGGUGAAGCUAGUGAUUCGUAGUACCUGAAUCAAAACAGACAAACAGAAAUAACACAAAGUUAGUAACUUUCAGAAAAAAUGAAAAAGAACUUGAUCUUAAAUAUUCUGAAAUCUCAAAUAUAGCAAACAAACACCCAAUUGGCAACGGCGCCAAAUUGAUAAUAAGUUUUUAGUCAAUUAUUCCUAAAACACCAAUCAUGUCGUUGUAGUAUUUUAGGUGUCAAUCCAAAUGGGUGUGAUGCAAACAGAUGAGAUGUGAUCAGAAGUCACUAAGUCAAGCCAAGCAAUAACAGUUUUGGGGUUUCUAACAGUCCUAAGCGAACAUGCAGAAAACAGAAGCAAUAACAGAAUUACUAAAAUCACUCGACCACAACAGGCUGAUGCCAGAAGUAGGAUGUGGUCGAGUAACUGGUCGAGUAAUAGACAGGAUAUGAAACAGCUAUACUCGACUGCACAGUCUGUUGCCAGACACUGGGUGUGGUCGAGUAAGUUGGUCGAGUGAUUGUAAAAACUAAGAAACAGGCAAUGAGAACGAUUAAGCGAUAACGAUAAAACAGAGAAAUAAGAUAGACGAGAAAUUCCUAAGGAUGGGGUAAUCGAGUAGAGUGGUGUCCUAGCCUAUUCGAAUGGUUAACAAGCGCAAUCAAGCUAUCCCUAGACAACAGGUUCAACAACAGACCAAUUCACUCCCGUGAUAGAAAUCCUCAAGCAAAGCUAGCCCAGACUAAUUCCCAUUAACGGAAUCUAACUAUGCAGGCAAUACGAACAGACUGAUAAAGUCAAUAAACGCUCUAAACGGCCAAUCCCUUGGGAUAGAGACGCAUAUCUCAGGAACUAGUGGAUCAAGCAUUCCAUCGAACACCUUCUGGGUGCGGGAAUGCUUGGGAUCGAAUUCCAGUUGAUCAGAAAGAAAUAAGCAGUAAACGCAACUAAUCCUAAAGGGAUUCAAUCAAUUCUAAAACUUAACCAUUCUACAGACUACGGAUUCCACAACUACUCUAUCUCAUCCCUAAGAAUUCUAAGUCACUACUCAGACAGCAUGCUCGAAGACAUAAACGCAGGUAAACGAUAAUAUUGCAUAAGUAAAGAGAUAAAGAGUAGAGAAACAAGAUGACUAAUGAAAUCAAACGCGGAAUCUCAAUAACUUGGAAAAAUCGCGAACUACAGGUUGUAGAAGCAAAAGCGGCGUAGCAGAGUAAAACUGAAAUUAAAACUGAAACAAAAACGCAAUGUCGACUAGAUGUCUCAGGACAGAACCCUAAAACAUCUAUUUAUACCAAACGAAAUAAAAUGAUAGUAGACGGGCCAAUAACCUAAUCGCCCGGCCCAUAGAGUGAUAAUGGGCCGAGAUGGGCUUCGUGAUCCGAUGGAGGUCCAGGCCGCUUCCAAACACUUUGUCUUCUCCUCUUUUCUUCCUUGUGCUCAGCUUGUCUGGUUGAGUGCGGAUUUGAGUAGACUGUGAAGACGUGAUCGAGUGUCCGGUCGAGUGAUGGUGAUGGUGGUGAGUGAUGAUACUCGACCAGGGGGUCGAGUAACGUGGUAGAGUGAAUGGUCGAGUGUGGUCAGGUGGUGUGGCGAAGCGGUACUCGACCAGGGGGUCGAGUAAUGUCGUCGAGUGGCCUGAGCUGAGGUUACUCGACCUGGUGGUCGAGUGGACGGGAAGAAUGGCUCCAAAGUCACUCGACCUGGGGGUCGAGUAUGUGGGAAGAAUGGCUCCAAAGUCACUCGGCCUGGGGGUCGAGUAUGUCUUCUGGUUCUGGCUCGUUUCUUCCAAUUUGCUCGCAAACAGCUCCAAAUCACCUGAAAACAACUAAGAAAUGCAAUAUGUAUGCAAAGCUAUCCUAAUCAUGCAAAGUGUGCAAGAAUGAUGAGAAAUGAUAUAAAACAGUGAUGAAUGAUACGAAACUAGACUCAAAGUGAUGAUGAAUAGACACUGAAAACAUGCAAAUUAUAGACAUAUCAUAGGUGUUCUCUAAAUACUCCUAAUCUGUCUUUAACUCUUAUUAUUAGUCAAAUGCAUUCGAUUGUGACACAUUUUAACCAUAGAAACACUAACAAAGCUAUUGACAGCGUCUAAGCAAUGUUUUGUUGGUUUUAGCCUUUUUUGAGAGAAAAUGGGUAUAAGUGUUGUCGAAACACUCCUAAUCCAUUUCUAAGUCUAAUAAUUAGUCAAAUGCAUUGGAUUGUGAUACAUUUUGACAAUAGAAACACUAACAAAGCUAUUUACUUU